rnacentral:rRNA from 1 species
CAAGCGAACUGCUCAGUAACACAGUAGUUAACCUAACCUAAUGCGAUGGGGAUAACCUCGGGAAACUGAGAAUAAUACCCAAUAGAUCACAGUGCCUGGAAUGGCCUGUGAUUGAAAUGAUUUAUCGCCGUAGGAUGGGACUGCGGCCUAUCAGCUUGUUGGUGAGGUAAUGGCCCACCAAGGCUAUAACAGGUACGGGCUCUGAGAGGAGGGGCCCGGAGAUGGGUACUGAGACACGGACCCAGGCCCUAUGGGGCGCAGCAGGCGAGAAACCUUUGCAAUGUGCGAAAGCACGACAAGGUUAAUCCGAGUGUCUCCUGCUAAAGGAGUCUUUUGUCAGUUGUAGAAUCACUGGCGAAUAAGGGGUGGGCAAGUUCUGGUGUC